UAUAAAUGUAUGUUGGGGUAGACUGCACUUUACGGGUCCCCGGAAGUUUAGCUACAGACAUGCGCAGAAGCCAUAUUUACAUCGAAGCGAGCACUAACGCUGACGCCAUUUUUUGUUUGCUCCAGCGAAUAACAACAUCGCUGUUUUGGUCCAUUCAAUUACCCUUGGAUACUAAUCGAUACAAUAAACAAAACAGGUAAGUUAACAUGAUGUAGCACAGCGUGAUAACAAAUAUCGAAACGCUUCACUUACCUUAUAAUAUUACAAGAACAAAUCUGCGCCUCAAUUGAAUUGACUUACCUCACAAGAACAAAUCCGCACUUGAAUUAAAUACAUCGGGUACAUCAUGUGAGCUUUCAUUUUGGGGGAUGUCAUUUUCUUUAUUUCCAGUUUCAACUAUUUUAAAAUAUUGAUGGGUUUUGGGGUCAAAUACACGGCGGAUAAAAAGUAAGAAAUGUAACGAAAGGAUCAUCAGAACAACGUAAAUAUUUCUUCCUCACAAUGUACUCAACAAAAUAACUAUCAUACAAUCCUUUCGUAGUU